rnacentral:rRNA from 1 species
GACGAACGCUGGCGGCGUGCUUAACACAUGCAAGUCGAACGGAAAGGCCCUGCUUUUGUGGGGUGCUCGAGUGGCGAACGGGUGAGUAACACGUGAGUAACCUGCCCUUGACUUUGGGAUAACUUCAGGAAACUGGGGCUAAUACCGGAUAGGAGCUCCUGCUGCAUGGUGGGGGUUGGAAAGUUUCGGCGGUUGGGGAUGGACUCGCGGCUUAUCAGCUUGUUGGUGGGGUAGUGGCUUACCAAGGCUUUGACGGGUAGCCGGCCUGAGAGGGUGACCGGCCACAUGGGGACUGAGAGACGGACCAGACUCCUACGGGAGGCAGCAGUGGGGAAUAUUGCACAAUGGGCGGAAGCCUGAUGCAGCAGCGCCGCGUGCGGGAUGACGGCCUUCGGGUUGUAAACCGCUUUCGCCUGUGACGAAGCGUGAGUGACGGUAAUGGGUAAAGAAGCACCGGCUAACUACGUG